rnacentral:rRNA from 1 species
UGAGUGCGAGCGGCUACGGCCGCGAAGUGGGUGAUGUCAAGCUUCCAAGAAAAGCCCUAUACCCGUUAAGGCAUGAUGGCCUGUACCCGAAACCGACACAGGUGGGGUGGUAGAGAAUACCGAGGGGCGCGAGGUAACUCUCUCUAAGGAACUCGGCAAAAUGGCCCCGUAACUUCGGGAGAAGGGGUGCCACCGCAAGGUGGUCGCAGUGAAGAGGCCCAGGCGACUGUUUACCAAAAACACAGGUCUCCGCUAAGUCGCAAGACGAUGUAUGGGGGCUGACGCCUGCCCAGUGCCGGAAGGUUAAGGAAGCUGGUCAGCGCAAGCGAAGCUGGCGACUGAAGCCCCGGUGAACGGCGGCCGUAACGAUAACGGUCCUAAGGUAGCGAAAUUCCUUGUCGGGUAAGUUCCGACCCGCACGAAAGGCGUAACGAUCUGGGCGCUGUCCCGGAGAGAGGCUCGGCGAAAUAGAAUUGUCUGUGAAGAUGCGGACUACGUGCACCCGGACAGAAAGACCCUAUGAAGCUUUACUGUAGCUUGGUAUUGUGCCCGGGCUCUGAAUGCGCAGGAUAGGUGGGAGGCUUUGAUCCAUGGCUUGCGGGUCAUGGUGAGCCAACGGUGAGAUACCACUCUUUCAGAGCUAGGGUUCUAACGGUCACCCGUCAUCCGGGGACCGGACAGUAUCAGGUGGGCAGUUUGACUGGGGCGGUCGCCUCCUAAAAGGUAACGGAGGCGCGCAAGGUUUGCUCAGGCUGGUUGGAAAUCAGCCGACGAGUGCAAAAGCAGAAGCAAGCUUGACUGUGAGACCUACAAGUCGAACAGGGACGAAAGUCGGCUUUAGUGAUCCGACGGUUCUGAGUGGAAGGGCCGUCGCUCAACGGAUAAAAGUUACUCUAAGGAUAACAGGCUGAUCUCCCCCAAGAGUUCACAUCGACGGGGAGGUUUGGCACCUCGAUGUCGGCUCAUCGCAACCUGGGGCUGAAGUCGGUCCCAAGGGUUGGGCUGUUCGCCCAUUAAAGCGGUACGCGAGCUGGGUUCAGAACGUCGUGAGACAGUUCGGUCCAUAUCCGGUGCACGCGCAGGAACAUUGAGAGGAUUUCUCCCUAGUACGAGAGGACCGGGAGGAACGCACCUCUGGUGUGCCAGUUAUCGUGCCAACGGUAAACGCUGGGUAGCCAUGUGCGGAGUGGAUAACCGCUGAAAGCAUCUAAGUGGGAAGCCCACCUCAAGAUGAGUGUUCCCAUGGCAUAAGCCAGUAAGGUCACGGGAAGAACACCCGUUGAUAGGCUCUACGUGGAAGCCGGGUAACCGGUGAAGCGGAGGAGUACUAAUAGACCGAGGGCUUGAC